rnacentral:snRNA from 1 species
UGGAAAAGUGUUUAUUCUUUGU